rnacentral:rRNA from 1 species
UACGUAGGGUGCAAGCGUUAAUCGGAAUUACUGGGCGUAAAGCGUGCGCAGGCGGUGAUGUAAGACAGGUGUGAAAUCCCCGGGCUUAACCUGGGAACUGCAUUUGUGACUGCAUCGCUGGAGUGCGGCAGAGGGGGAUGGAAUUCCGCGUGUAGCAGUGAAAUUCGUAGAUAUCGGGAGGAAUACCAGUGGCGAAGGCGCUGGGCUGGACGGUCAUUGACGCUGAGGUGCGAAAGCGUGGGAAGCAAACAGG